rnacentral:rRNA from 1 species
UACGAAGGGUGCUAGCGUUGUUCGGAAUUACUGGGCGUAAAGCGCGCGUAGGCGGCUUAACAAGUCAGGGGUGAAAUCCCGGGGCUCAACCCCGGAAUUGCCUUUGAAACUGUUAAGCUAGAGUGUCGGAGGGGAUAGCGGAAUUGCUAAUGUAGAGGUGAAAUUCGUAGAUAUUAGCAGGAACACCGGUGGCGAAGGCAGUGUCCUGGGGAGUACCUGACGCUCAGGUGCGAAAGCCAGGGGAGCGGAACGGG